GAUGAACGCUGGCGGCGUGCCUAAUACAUGCAAGUCGAGCGAACAGACGAGGAGCUUGCUCCUCUGACGUUAGCGGCGGACGGGUGAGUAACACGUGGAUAACCUACCUAUAAGACUGGGAUAACUUCGGGAAACCGGAGCUAAUACCGGAUAAUAUAUUGAACCGCAUGGUUCAAUAGUGAAAGACGGUUUUGCUGUCACUUAUAGAUGGAUCCGCGCCGCAUUAGCUAGUUGGUAAGGUAACGGCUUACCAAGGCGACGAUGCGUAGCCGACCUGAGAGGGUGAUCGAGCACACGGGAACUGAGACACGGUCCAGACUCCUACGGGAGGCAGCAGUAGAGAAUCUUCCGCAAUGGGCGAAAGCCUGACGGAGCAACGCCGCGUGAGUGAUGAAGGUCUUCGGAUCGUAAAACUCUGUUAUUAGGGAAGAACAAAUGUGUAAGUAACUAUGCACGUCUUGACGGUACCUAAUCAGAAAGCCACGGCUAACUACGUG
rnacentral:rRNA from 1 species